GUGCCAGCAGCCGCGGUAAUACGGAAGGUCCGGGCGUUAUCCGGAUUUAUUGGGUUUAAAGGGAGCGUAGGCGGGAUGUUAAGCGUGCUGUGAAAAUCUGCGGCUCAACCGUAGUCGUGCAGCGCGAACUGGCUUCCUUGAGUGCGCGGGAGGUACGCGGAAUACGUGGUGUAGCGGUGAAAUGCUUAGAUAUCACGAGGAACCCCGAUUGCGAAGGCAGCGUGCCGUAGCGUUACUGACGCUGAAGCUCGAAGGUGCGGGUAUCGAACAGGAUUAGAUACCCUGGUAGUCCGCACGGUAAACGAUGGAUGCCCGCUGUCGGCGCUAUGUCGCCGGCGGCCAAGCGAAAGCGUUAAGCAUCCCACCUGGGGAGUACGCCGGCAACGGUGAAACUCAAAGGAAUUGACGGGGGCCCGCACAAGCGGAGGAACAUGUGGUUUAAUUCGAUGAUACGCGAGGAACCUUACCCGGGCUUGAACUGCAGAGGACUUCGGCGGAGACGCCGUUUCCCUUCGGGGCCUCUGUGGAGGUGCUGCAUGGUUGUCGUCAGCUCGUGCCGUGAGGUGUCGGCUUAAGUGCCAUAACGAGCGCAACCCCUCUCCGUAGUUGCCAUCGGGUCGUGCCGGGCACUCUGCGGACACUGCCACCGCAAGGUGCGAGGAAGGUGGGGACGACGUCAAAUCAGCACGGCCCUUACGUCCGGGGCUACACACGUGUUACAAUGGGGUGUACAGAGAGCGGGCGCUGCGCAAGCCGCGUCGAAUCAGCAAAGCACCCCUCAGUUCGGACUGGGGUCUGCAACCCGACCCCACGAAGCUGGAUUCGCUAGUAAUCGCGCAUCAGCCAUGGCGCGGUGAAUACGUUCCCGGGCCUUGUACACACCGCCCGU
rnacentral:rRNA from 1 species